UUAAGUGCAUGUGGUGGAUGCCUUGGCAGUCAGAGGCGAUGAAAGACGUGAUAGCCUGCGAAAAGCUCCGGGGAGGCGGCAAAUAUCCUUUGAUCCGGAGAUGUCUGAAUGGGGGAACCCACCUACUUUAAGGUAGGUAUUGCAACAUGAAUACAUAGUGUUGCAAGGCGAACGAGGGGAAGUGAAACAUCUCAGUACCCUUAGGAAAAGAAAUCAAUUGAGAUUCCCUCAGUAGCGGCGAGCGAACGGGGAUCAGCCCAUUAAGUUAUGUGUGUUUUAGUGGAACGCUCUGGGAAGUGCGAACGUAGAGGGUGAUAUUCCCGUACACGAAAGGGCACACAUAAUGAUGACGAGUAGGGCGAGGCACGUGAAACCUUGUCUGAAUAUGGGGGGACCAUCCUCCAAGGCUAAAUACUCCUGACUGACCGAUAGUGAACCAGUACCGUGAGGGAAAGGCGAAAAGAACCCCUGUGAGGGGAGUGAAAUAGAUCCUGAAACCGCAUGCAUACAAGCAGUGGGAGCACCUUCGUGGUGUGACUGCGUACCUUUUGUAUAAUGGGUCAGCGACUUAUAUUCAGUAGCAAGGUUAACCGUAUAGGGGAGCCGUAGAGAAAUCGAGUCUUAAUAGGGCGUUUAGUUGCUGGGUAUAGACCCGAAACCAGGCGAUCUAUCCAUGAGCAGGUUGAAGGUUGGGUAACACUAACUGGAGGACCGAACCCACUGUCGUUGAAAAGCCAGGGGAUGACUUGUGGAUAGGGGUGAAAGGCUAAUCAAGCCUGGUGAUAGCUGGUUCUCCCCGAAAGCUAUUUAGGUAGCGCCUCGGACGAAUACCAUAGGGGGUAGAGCACUGUUUCGGCUAGGGGGUCAUCCCGACUUACCAAACCGAUGCAAACUCCGAAUACCUAUGAGUACUAUCCGGGAGACAGACUGCGGGUGCUAACGUCCGUAGUCAAGAGGAAAACAAUCCAGACCGCCAGCUAAGGCCCCAAAAUCAUAGUUAAGUGGGAAACGAUGUGGGAAGGCAUAGACAGCUAGGAGGUUGGCUUAGAAGCAGCCACCCUUUAAAGAAAGCGUAAUAGCUCACUAGUCGAGUCGGCCUGCGCGGAAGAUGUAACGGGGCUAAAACUAUGUGCCGAAGCUGCGGAUUUGACAUUAGUCAAGUGGUAGGGGAGCGUUCUGUAAGCCGAUGAAGGUGUGUUGAGAAGCAUGCUGGAGGUAUCAGAAGUGCGAAUGCUGACGUGAGUAACGACAAAACGGGUGAAAAACCCGUUCGCCGAAAGACCAAGGGUUCCAGUCCAACGUUAAUCGGGGCUGGGUGAGUCGACCCCUAAGGCGAGGCCGAAAGGCGUAGUCGAUGGGAAAAUGGUUAAUAUUCCAUUACUUCUGUGUAAUGCGAUGAGAGGACGGAGAAGGCUAAAUCAGCCUGGCGUUGGUUGUCCAGGUGAAAGGAUGUAGGCAUGUAUCUUAGGCAAAUCCGGGGUACUCUAUGCUGAGAUCUGAUAGCAAGCUGUACUUGUACAGCGAAGUGGUUGAUGCCAUGCUUCCAGGAAAAGUCUCUAAGCUUCAGUUACACAGGAAUCGUACCCGAAACCGACACAGGUGGUCAGGUCGAGUAGACCAAGGCGCUUGAGAGAACUCUGCUGAAGGAACUAGGCAAAAUGGUACCGUAACUUCGGGAGAAGGUACGCUGUUGUUGGUGAUGGAACUCGCUUCCUGAGCUGACGACAGCCGCAGAAACCAGGCCGCUGCAACUGUUUAUUAAAAACAUAGCACUCUGCAAACACGAAAGUGGACGUAUAGGGUGUGAUGCCUGCCCGGUGCUGGAAGGUUAAUUGAUGGGGUUAGCGUAAGCGAAGCUCUUGAUCGAAGCCCCAGUAAACGGCGGCCGUAACUAUAACGGUCCUAAGGUAGCGAAAUUCCUUGUCGGGUAAGUUCCGACCUGCACGAAUGGCAUAAUGAUGGCGGCGCUGUCUCCAGCAGAGGCUCAGUGAAAUCGAAAUCGCUGUGAAGAUGCAGUGUACCCGCGGCUAGACGGAAAGACCCCGUGAACCUUUACUGCAGCUUGACACUGAACUUUGACCUUACUUGUGUAGGAUAGGUGGGAGGCUUUGAAGCUGGAACGCUAGUUCCAGUGGAGCCGUCCUUGAAAUACCACCCUGGUAAUGUUGAGGUUCUAACUCUGUCCCGUGAUCCGGGACGAGGACCGUGUCUGGUGGGUAGUUUGACUGGGGCGGUCUCCUCCUAAAGAGUAACGGAGGAGUACGAAGGUGCGCUCAGCGUGGUCGGAAAUCACGCGUAGAGUAUAAAGGCAAAAGCGCGCUUAACUGCGAGACCCACAAGUCGAGCAGGUACGAAAGUAGGUCUUAGUGAUCCGGUGGUUCUGUAUGGAAGGGCCAUCGCUCAACGGAUAAAAGGUACUCUGGGGAUAACAGGCUGAUACCGCCCAAGAGUUCAUAUCGACGGCGGUGUUUGGCACCUCGAUGUCGGCUCAUCUCAUCCUGGGGCUGAAGCAGGUCCCAAGGGUAUGGCUGUUCGCCAUUUAAAGAGGUACGCGAGCUGGGUUUAGAACGUCGUGAGACAGUUCGGUCCCUAUCUACCGUGGGCGCUGGAAAUUUGAGAGGAUCUGCUCCUAGUACGAGAGGACCAGAGUGGACGAACCUCUGGUGUACCGGUUGUGACGCCAGUCGCAUCGCCGGGUAGCUAUGUUCGGAAGGGAUAACCGCUGAAAGCAUCUAAGCGGGAAGCCUACCUCAAGAUAAGAUUUCCCUAGGACUUUAUGUCCUCUAAAGAGCCGUUCGAGACUAGGACGUUGAUAGGUUGGAUGUGGAAGCAUAGUGAUAUGUGAAGCUGACCAAUACUAAUUGCUCGUGAGGCUUGACU
rnacentral:rRNA from 1 species